AACAAGGCGUACCUGCGGACCUGCGGAAGGAUCAUUACCGAGUGUGGUCCCAUAAGGGGCGCCUCCCGUCCUUUGCAGGGCCUUUAGGGGCUUUUUGACUUUGCUUCGGCGGGCUUGUCCCGCCGGAACACCCUCAAGAAAAUCUUUAUGAACCGUUUGUCUGAGUUCGCUUGCGAAUAAAACAAAACUUUCAACAACGGAUCU
rnacentral:misc_RNA from 1 species